rnacentral:tRNA from 3 species
GGAGGCAUAGCUCAGCUGGUUAGAGUGCUUGCUUGACAUGCAAGAGGUCACUGGUUCGAUUCCAGUUGUCUCCACCA